rnacentral:lncRNA from 1 species
CCUACUCUGUCGCCAGCCUGUUCGUCACGGUAAAAAGAAAGAAGCACAGUAAAAACCAGCCCAGCCUCUGGCUCUCCAUCUCUCACCUCGCACCCCCUCCCCCUCCCCUCCACUUUGACCCAGCACGAGCAGAACCCGGAAGCGAAGCCAGAGCCAGAGCGCAUACCGCAUAGCCUGCGCGCUCCGACGCCGUCCCCUAUAUAAACACCGCCACUAUUCUCCCCGCCCCC